rnacentral:rRNA from 1 species
AUUCCAGCUCCAAUAGCGUAUACUAAAGUUGUUGCAGUUAAAAAGCUCGUAGUUGAAUUUCUGGGUGUGAUAGGCGGUCCGUGUGCAUAACAUGUGUACCUCCCUCUCAUGCCCAUCCUCGAAGUGAAUAUGCAUUGCCUUAACUGUGUCGUGUAUAGGACCUUCGUCAUUUACUGUGAGCAAAAUAGAGUGUUCAAAGCAGGCUUAUGCCGUUGAAUAUAUUAGCAUGGAAUAAUAAGAUAUGACUUCUGUCUAUUUUGUUGGUUUGCAUUCGGAAGUAAUGAUUAAUAGGGAUAGUUGGGGGUUUUCGUAUUCAAUUGUCAGAGGUGAAAUUCUCGGAUUUAUGGAAGACGAACUACUGCGAAAGCAUCAACCAAGGAUGUUUUCAUUG